GGCAGUGUGGCACAGUGGGUAAGGAACUGGGCUUGUAACCGAAAGGUCAUAGGUUUGAUUCCUGGGACACUGCCG
rnacentral:tRNA from 1 species